UAUGAUAGGGGUUAAUGUGUUAAUAAUCACCUAACCUAGACCUUGAAUAUACACCCCCUAACCUUCUAAAUCAUCGACCCAUAACCCAUAACCCUUCUAAAUACGCAAUGUGAUUUAUUCCCAUUGCUCUGCAUGUCAAAGUGAAGAAAUUCAACCAAACGCGGGUAAACAAUAGGAGUAACUAUGACUAUCUUAAGGUAGCUAGAUGCCUCGUCAUAUAAUUAGUGACAUGCAUGAAUGGAUCAUUAACGAUAUUCCCCACUGUCCCUAGCUACUAUAUUCUAGAGAAACCACAUCCAAGGGAAUGGGCUUGGCAAAAUUAGCGGGGAAAGAAGACCCUCAUAUUGAGCUUGACUCUAGUCCUAACCCAUUCAUAGUUUGGGAAAAUUAGGGCAUAGU
rnacentral:ncRNA from 1 species